UACGUAGGGUGCGAGCGUUAAUCGGAAUUACUGGGCGUAAAGCGUGCGCAGGCGGCGCGUUAAGACAGGUGUGAAAGCCCCGAGCUUAACUUGGGAAUUGCGCUUGUGACUGGCGAGCUGGAGUGUGGCAGAGGGGGGUGGAAUUCCACGUGUAGCAGUGAAAUGCGUAGAGAUGUGGAGGAACACCGAUGGCGAAGGCAGCCUCCUGGGCCAGCACUGACGCUCAUGCACGAAAGCGUGGGGAGCAAACAGG
rnacentral:rRNA from 1 species